rnacentral:lncRNA from 1 species
CAUAGUUCUACUUCUAACUUCUGUUUAUGUAAACAGUAGAUGUCCUGAUGGUUAAGCUACUGUUAGUUUGACUUUGGGUUCAUUGUAAUGAAAAGAAAGCUAGCUAAUGAACAUAUGAAAUUAUAGUUUUUAAAUGUGUUAAGUGAAAGAUAUAUUAUUUUUAAAGGCAAAAAGGAUAAAGGAAGUAAGUAUAAGCAAGAGAAAAGAAAAGAGGUGAGGAAAAUGAGCCUGCAUUACUAUUGACCAAUCCUAAAGUAUUAAAUACAACAGGGUCAUGAGUUGGUAGAAAGAACACAAGAAUAUUCUUGGAUGGAGAUAGGGAGGAGUAAGGGAAUGCAUUUUCCCAUAGAAAGCAACAAGUUAUUUAUAGAAAACUGGUCCAUGAUUGUUCAUGAAGGAGCAGAACUCAUUGUUUCUGAACAAAA